rnacentral:lncRNA from 1 species
GGGUCGGCGGAGACCCAGCGGGAGCAGGGGGAAAUCGGAAGAGCUGGGGGCAUGGAGCGGGCGAGUUUGGAGCGGAAUGAGCCGGGAGCCCUACGUUGUGGAAGGAAGACAACAGUAUAGGACCAUCAGCAGGACCGGACAGAGAGGGGCACGUAAGCAGUAAUUACUGGAUGGCAUAGUAAUUCUACUAAAAAUUAAAAUGCCACUUAUUGGAAUGGUGUGUGAACACUCUAAAGCAACCCGGGAAGAAGACAGCAGUCAAGAAGACCAAGGAAGGAAAUGGAGGAGGGAUGACCCCACCAUUACAGGCAGGGAAGGACUGACCAAAGAGACAGAAAUGUAGUCUAGGAAAUGUGUCAUCUUAGAAAGGAACGGGAAGGGGCUGGAGAGGUGGCUCAGAAGUAAAGAGCAGUGGAUGCUCUUUCAGGGGACCUGAGUUGGCCUCCUAAUGUCUUCAGGUACCUCCUAACUGCAUGUAACUCCAGCUCCGGGAGAUUCUGGAUUCUUCUGGUCUCCACGGCACUGCGUUCACGCGCACGCGCGCGCGCACACACACACACACACACACACACACACAAAUUAAUCUUAGAAAAGCAUAGGAAGCCUGAUUUUUUGUUUGUUUGUUUGUUUUGGGGUUUUUUUUUUGUUUGUUUUGUUUUGUUUUUGAGACAGGGUUUCUCUGUAUAGCCCUGGCUGUCCUGGAACUUGUAGACCAGGCUGGCCUUGAACUCAGAAAUCCGCCUGCCUCUGACUCCCGAGUGCUGAGAUUAAAGGUGUGCACCACCACACCCGACAAGGAAGCCUGUUUUAAGAAGUGAUUCCAUGGAGGAGUUCUGCGGCGGCUCAGGGCUUGACUAAACAGUGGACCUCAGGGUCCCAUUUCUCUCAGUAGACAAGAGAGGCUAAACCAGGCUGCAGGUGACAGGAAGAAUUGAAUAAACUGAAAGCAAAGGGCAGCCUUCUAAUUACGCUUCGUGGCUAUGUGGACAACCUGGAGAAGUCUGGAAACAAGCCAGAAGCCCGAAGCCAGCAGUAGAGCUCUGACUGGCUUGUAUGCCUAGAAAGGAAGGGCUCUUCUUUCGCCUCACGGGCACAAAUGGGACCCACGAGCGCCGAUUUCAGACUAUUCUGAUCCCUUCAAAAAGAAAGUUAGGAGUCCAGGCUACUUCACUUUGGUGAUAGUAAUCAAACCCUAAUCACGGUGCAGCCACAAGUCACAGAGACCGAAAUAGCAGACUUAUGACAGACAAGGAUGGAGACAGCUAAGGAACUGGCUAUUAAUCACCAGUCCCUCUGCUCACAGCCCAUUGGACCCGAGGGUGAAGGAUGAGGAGGAUGGAAGAAAAUGGGAGUGGCGCUUGCUGCAAAGGGUCUCGAAGGGUCUCAGCACCUGCGAACUGGCUCCAAUCCAAACUCCACUAUUCAUGGUCAAGUUCACAUAGGGCUUGGGGUUCUAACAAGAUGUGACUAAACUUACGUUUUCUAUCUUAUUGAUUGUUGUUGAUGCACGUCUGGUGGUACAUGCUUGAAGAACACAGACACCCUGAGAAGAAAGACAUAGCUCCCCAGAUUCCAGCACGCACUUCUCUGUGAGCUACCACUGUAGCUGAAGAUACAGGGCUCAGGAGGAACACUUGGCCUUCGCUCUGAACUUCAGGCCCACGUAACCAUCAGCCGACAUGACACUGCAAAGGCACCUUAGCUCUGCUGUCCCAGAUGGCCAAGCCAACCUUAUUCCAGAAGCUACUUCUCCUGAUGUAAGAACCAGACACAAAGGACAACCUCUGCCUCACCCUCCUUCACACAACACUGAGUCUGUCAUCUUUGAAGCAUUUCUCAAGCCAUGUUUAUUCCCCUGGCCUACGUGGAACACAGCCAGGGUACGGAACACAACCUCAGCACCGGUCUGCUUUCCUCUCCCCAUUUCUGGUCUUUCUCAGAUGCCCAGAGCUCCUCUGUCCCAAUGACUGCUUAUCAAAGAUCUCACUGUGUCCCCACCCAAGGGGUCUUUGGCCACCCUGUGAAGUCCUAGUGGCCUGGAGUUUGCCCCCUUUCCCAGACACCUUAGGGUUCCUGCUGCAGCUCCAGAACUGGGGGAGCAGGGUUGGGGGUGAGUGUGUGUGUGUGUGUGUGUGUGUGUGUGUGUGUGUGUGUUGACUCACCCUGCAGUAUUCUCUCCAUCUGCACAGGUCCCCAGUCUCUGAGACUGAAUCACCCCUCUUUCACUAUGCCUCUGCACAGCUGCCCUUGUGCUCCCUCUCCUUGCCCCGCCUCUUUUUAAGACAGUAUUAUGCAGCCCUGGCUGUCCUGGAACUUAUGUAAACCAGCCUGGCCUUGAACUUGCAGAGAUCCACCUGCCUUUGCCUCUGCCCCUGCCCCUGCCCCUGCCCCUGCCCCUGCCCCUGCCCCUGCCUUUCUGCCUCUGCCUCUGCCUCUCUGCCUUUCUGCCUCUGCCUCUCUGCCUCUGCCUCUCUGCCUCUGCCUCUCAAGUGUCAGGGAUUAAUGCCUGCCACCUCCCCAGUCCCACCCCUCUCCAUCUACCAUGUGGGUUCCACGGGGCAAACCCAAGUCAUCAGGCUUGUUGGCCAGUGCCUUUAUCCACUGAGCCAAGCCGCUUGGUGUGUCUUUGAUGGUGAUUAUUUACAGGAGCUAUUCAGCAAGGUUAAAUGCUGGCAACCCAAUGAGGGGGUCUCUUGAUCCAAAACUGAGAAGUUGAGGCACUAUUUCAGAAUGACCAAAGACAGUAGAAGAAUCUAGAUAUGUCGAUGAUGAGAACAAUGAUAACUCCAAAAGCUGAGGGAAAUUAACUCAAAAUCUUCCAGCUUCCUUUUCCUUACCUAGUUUGGCGGACUCCAACUCUUGGGAUAGCUUUUUUUCUGGCCCCAAACUCACCUGAUUCGUCUGUCCACUGCCACACUGAAGAAUGAACAGCUGUCUCAGAGAGCUUGGCUCCAGAGCUCUGCAAAAAGAGGACACCUUGCCUUGAGCUGUGUUUCCAGAAUGUAUUGCAGCCCCCAGAGUCAUGUACUGUGACCAGGUGAGGACAUGCAUCUUCUGUUCUCCUGCACCCAGGGCCCCAGCAACCAAGGAUCUGGGGACAUGGCGGGUGUUUGGCAGGUUCGCACUCUGAAAAUAUUUGAUGAGACUCAGUAUAUGCUAAAUAAACACUGGAUC